UUUCAAUAGCAUUUCUCAUGCUACACUUAUGGCAAUAAAAGAGGUGAAUGAAGAAAUAUCUUAAUUUGUUUUCUG